AAUGAUUUUUAUAUAAGCAAAGAUAAAACUACAAUAUGUUAAAUUAUGUGGAAUAUAUUCUUGUUCUUUAAAAAUAUAAACAGAAGCUGGAAAAACGUAAAAAUUCUUACUACUUGCAGAUGGUGUAUUAAUUUAUGCAGGAAAUGUAAUGGACUCUACUAGAAAUCUUGUAGUAAGUUUAUUGAGUUUGUAUAACACAUGAUAAUUAAACAAAAAUAUUGUGUGUAAACAAUAGAAAUUAGAUAUUAAACUUAAAUUCAUGAUAGCAUAAAAUAUUCAGUACUCUGUGGUAUAUCUUAUACAUGAUUUGCAAUAGCUACAUGGUCAAACUUACUGAGCAUUUCUGAAAUAUAUUAAAGAAUAUCUAAGAGACACACUAUGUUCAUUAAUUGGAAGAUUUAAUAUUAAGAUGUUAAUUUUCUCCAAAUUGGUCUAGAGAUUCAAAUUAAUUCCAAUAAAAUUUUAUUUUUAGUAGAAAUUGGCAAGCUGAUUCUCCUUUAUAUGAAAAUGCAAAUGUUCUGGAAUAGCUGAAACAACUUUUAAAAAGACCAAAACUAUAACAUCUGAAAUCAAUUAUUAUUAAAAGCUGCAUUAAUCAAAGUGUGGUUUCCAACAAGAUGGAAAUAUUGACAAAUGAAACAAUAGAGAGUCAGGAAAUAGAUCCACCUAUAGGGUGACUCAAACUUACAUGAAAACUGAUUUUUGGUAAAGAUGCAAAGACAAUUUAGUGGAGAAAGGGUAAUUUUUAAAGUGUUUGGGAAUACUCAGUGAUAUGGUUCAGCUGUGCCCCCACCCAAAUCCCAUCUUCAAUUGUAGCUCUCAUAAUUCCCACGUGUUGUGGGAGGGACCUGGUUGGGAGAUAAUUGAAUCAUGGGGGUGGUUUCCCUCAUACUGUUCACCUGAUAGUGAAUAAGUCUCACGAGAUUUGAUGAUUUUAACUGGAUUUCUCCCUUCUCUUGGCUCUCAUUCUCUCCUGCCACCGUGUAAGAUGUGCUUUUUGCCUUCCACCACGAUCCCGAGACAUCCCCAGUCAUGUGGAACUGUGGUGUUUUCUUGCUGUCUUGUCACGUACUGUAAAGGACUAACUAGUCUCUGGGAUCUCCUAUAUAAAAAUACUAAUCCCAGUCACUUCUCAAAGGCCCCAUGUCCUAAUACCUGGUAGGUUAAGAUUUCAACAUAUACAUUUUGGGGGUAACGAAAAAAAUUAGGUCAUAGCACAGAGUAAAAAUCU
rnacentral:lncRNA from 13 species